GGGCUCACACAAGCGGUGGAUGAUGUGGCUUAAUUCGAGGCAACGCGAAGAACCUUAUCCUGGACUUGACAUGCUUGGAUGGCUCGCCCGAAAGGGAUGAGUCUGCCUUCGGGUGAAACUUGCACAGGUGCUGCAUGGCUGUCGUCAGCUCGUGUCGUGAGACGUCGCGUUAAGUCGCUUAACGAGCGCAACCCUUGUCCUUAGUUGCCAGCACGUAAUGGUGGGGACUCUAAGGAGACCGCCGGUGUCAAACCGGAGGAAGGCGGGGACGACGUCAAGUCAUCAUGGCCUUUAUGUUCAGGGCUGCACACGUCAUACAAUGCAACAUACAAAGGGCAGCUAACCCGCGAGGGGGCGCUAA
rnacentral:rRNA from 1 species